GACGAACGCUGGCGGCGUGCUUAACACAUGCAAGUCGAACGGAAAGGCCCUGCUUUUGUGGGGUGCUCGAGUGGCGAACGGGUGAGUAACACGUGAGUAACCUGCCCUUGACUUUGGGAUAACUUCAGGAAACUGGGGCUAAUACCGGAUAGGAGCUCCUGCUGCAUGGUGGGGGUUGGAAAGUUUCGGCGGUUGGGGAUGGACUCGCGGCUUAUCAGCUUGUUGGUGGGGGAGUGGCUUACCAAGGCUUUGACGGGUAGCCGGCCUGAGAGGGUGACCGGCCACAUUGGGACUGAGAUACGGCCCAGACUCCUACGGGAGGCAGCAGUGGGGAAUAUUGCACAAUGGGCGGAAGCCUGAUGCAGCAGCGCCGCGUGCGGGAUGACGGCCUUCGGGUUGUAAACCGCUUUCGCCUGUGACGAAGCGUGAGUGACGGUAAUGGGUAAAGAAGCACCGGCUAACUACGU
rnacentral:rRNA from 1 species